GACGAACGCUGGCGGCGUGCCUAAUACAUGCAAGUCGAACGAACUCUGGUUUUUGAUUGACGGUGCUUGCACCUGAUUGAUUAAACAUUUGAGUGAGUGGCGAACUGGUGAGUAACACGUAGGAAACCUGCCCAGAAGCGGGGGAUAACACCUGGAAACAGAUGCUAAUACCGCAUAACAACUUGAACCGCAUGGUUCGAGUUUGAAAGAUGGCUCUGCUAUCACUUCUGGAUGGUCCUGCGGCGUAUUAGCUAGAUGGUGAGGUAACGGCUCACCAUGGCAAUGAUCCGUAGCCGACCCGAGAGGGUAAUCGGCCACAUUGGGACUGAGACACGGCCCAAACUCCUACGGGAGGCAGCAGUAGGGAAUCUUCCACAAUGGACGAAAGUCUGAUGGAGCAACGCCGCGUGAGUGAAGAAGGGUUUCGGCUCGUAAAACUCUGUUGUUAGAGAAGAACAUAUCUGAGAGUAACUGUUCAGGUAUUGACGGUAUCUAACCAGAAAGCCACGGCUAACUACGUGCCAGCCGCCGCCGUAA
rnacentral:rRNA from 1 species